AUCCAGCUGACGAGUCAGAAAUAGGACGAAACGAGCUUCCUGGAU
rfam:Schistosoma mansoni, Puerto Rico, WGS project CABG01000000 data, contig: 0100